rnacentral:tRNA from 5 species
UAGCUCAGUCGGUAGAGCGACGGACUGUUAAUCCGCAGGUCCCUGGUUCGAGCCCAG